AAUAUAGUGCUCACUGAUCAGAGCAUGAAGUGAGAGAUGAGCUCCCCUGGGGAGACUCUGAUGUAUUUUUAAUGUACCUGAUGCAGUGGUUUAGCAGUGGAUGUGACAUUAACAGCUACAUUUGGGCACCAAUUUGCUUCUCCCAGGUGCAAACUUAAAUAUUUGGACAACUAGCAUGGAAUAAAUAAUUAAGCUCCUCUAAUCCUUCUGGCCCCUCUUGCUAAUGAGCAAUAUUAUGAUAUAAAUUUUUUUUUUUUUUUGAGGAACAAGCUUCUUCUUUCUUUUCCACACCUUGUGCCUCCUGACCUGUGAACAAGCCCAAGUCAGGCUUGACACAGUUUUCACUGGGGAAAUAAAUCUUGGCUGCUCUGCAGGUGUCAGGAGGGGACAGGUCUCUGUGUUCUGAAAGGGCUUUUGAUCCAAACUGACACCAGGGAGACAGAGACGAGGAAAAAAGUAGGAAUAUCUCAGUGAACUGUGACAGUGGGGACAAAGAUGAAGCAGAAAACAAAGGCUGUGUCUCCUGCUCUGCGGAUUUGAGAGGUGCCCAAGGAAUUCAUCCAGUCUGAUCCGCACACAGGGAUGCUCCAAGCGUUUCCUUGGGGAAUUCCUGUUGCUACGGAGCACUUUAAACGCAGAACGUUGGAUUCCACCCCCAGGAAACAAAAAUCCAGCUCGUUUCAGCCUGGCUUUGGUUUUCAAACGAGACAGGACGGUGCUAAUCAAGCUCUGCGAGAUUAACGUGAAGAAACCCCUGAUCCCUGCCAGCACUUCUUAUUUCUGGGACACCUGUGCAAUAAUGCCCUGAACUCCUCCAAACUCCUUUGGCUGCCAUCGAUUUUUUGGUGCUUAUCAAGCCAAAUGAAAAAAACUCCCCACCAAAGCAGAAAUGCAAUUUACUUUUUAAUAAACCUUAAGAGGAAGUCAAUAUAUCACCGGGAAUUCUCUUUUUUCAACGGGCUAGUAAUUAAAGCUAUAUAUUACUGGAAGCAUUAAAGAUUUAAUACACUUUUAGGUGUGUUUAUAAAGCUUAUGUUUAAUCUUUGGACUCGCAGCAAGAGCCUCAAGAGUGAUUUCCCCACCCUUUUUUCUCCCUU